rnacentral:rRNA from 1 species
GACGAACGCUGGCGGCGUGCUUAACACAUGCAAGUCGAACGGAAAGGCCCUGCUUGCAGGGUACUCGAGUGGCGAACGGGUGAGUAACACGUGGGUGAUCUGCCCUGCACUUCGGGAUAAGCCUGGGAAACUGGGUCUAAUACAGGAUAGGAGCCAUUUUUAGUGUGAUGGUUGGAAAGUUUUUUCGGUGUAGGAUGAGCUCGCGGCCUAUCAGCUUGUUGGUGGGGUAAUGGCCUACCAAGGCGGCGACGGGUAGCCGGCCUGAGUGGGUGGACGGCCACAUUGGGACUGAGGUACGGCCCAGACACCUACGGUAGGCAGCAGGGGGGAAGAUUGCACAAUGGGCGCAAGCCUGAUGCAGCGACGCCGCGGGGGGGAUGACGGCCUUCGGGUUGUAAACUCCUUUCGCUAGGGACGAAGCUUUUUGUGACGGUACCUAGAUAAGAAGCACCGGCUAACUACGUG